UAGUUGGCGGGGUAAAGGCCCACCAAGGCGACGAUCCGUAACUGGUCUGAGAGGAUGAUCAGUCACACCGGAACUGAGACACGGUCCGGACUCCUACGGGAGGCAGCAGUGGGGAAUAUUGGACAAUGGGGGCAACCCUGAUCCAGCCAUGCCGCGUGUGUGAAGAAGGCCUUCGGGUUGUAAAGCACUUUAGGUUGGGAGGAAGGUUUCAAGGCUAAUAUCCUUGGAAAUUGACGUUACCGACAGAAUAAGCACCGGCUAACUCCGUGCCAGCAGCCGCGGUAAUACGGAGGGUGCAAGCGUUAAUCGGAAUUACUGGGCGUAAAGCGCGCGUAGGCGGCUCGGUCAGUCGGGUGUGAAAUCCCUGGGCUCAACCUGGGAACUGCAUUCGAUACUGCCGAGCUAGAGUGUGGGAGAGGGUAGUGGAAUUCCCGGUGUAGCGGUGAAAUGCGUAGAUAUCGGGAGGAACAUCAGUGGCGAAGGCGACUGCCUGGCCCAACACUGACGCUGAGGUGCGAAAGCGUGGGUAGCAAACAGGAUUAGAUACCCUGGUAGUCCACGCCGUAAACGAUGUCGACUAGCCGUUGGAGACCUUAGAGUCUUUAGUGGCGAAGCUAACGCGAUAAGUCGACCGCCUGGGGAGUACGGCCGCAAGGUUAAAACUCAAAUGAAUUGACGGGGGCCCGCACAAGCGGUGGAGCAUGUGGUUUAAUUCGAUGCAACGCGAAGAACCUUACCAGGUCUUGACAUCCAGAGAACUUUCCAGAGAUGGAUUGGUGCCGAAAGGAGCUCUGAGACAGGUGCUGCAUGGCUGUCGUCAGCUCGUGUUGUGAAAUGUUGGGUUAAGUCCCGUAACGAGCGCAACCCUUGUCCUUAGUUGCCAGCGCGUAAUGGCGGGAACUCUAAGGAGACUGCCGG
rnacentral:rRNA from 1 species